rnacentral:rRNA from 1 species
UACGUAGGGCGCAAGCGUUGUCCGGAAUUAUUGGGCGUAAAGAGCUCGUAGGCGGCCUGUUGCGUCCGCUGUGAAAUCCCGGGGCUCAACCCCGGGCCUGCAGCCGAUACGGGCAAGCUAGAAUUCGGUAGGGGAGACUGGAAUUCCUGGUGUAGCGGUGAAAUGCGCAGAUAUCAGGAGGAACACCGGUGGCGAAGGCGGGUCUCUGGGCCGAUAUUGACGCUGAGGAGCGAAAGCGUGGGGAGCAAACAGG